UGGGGAAUAUUGCACAAUGGGCGCAAGCCUGAUGCAGCAACGCCGCGUGAACGAUGAAGGUCUUCGGAUCGUAAAGUUCUGUUGCAGGGGAAGAUAAUGACGGUACCCUGUGAGGAAGCCCCGGCUAACUACGUGCCAGCAGCCGCGGUAAUACGUAGGGGGCUAGCGUUAUCCGGACUUACUGGGCGUAAAGGGUGCGUAGGUGGUCUUUCAAGUCGGUGGUUAAAGGCUACGGCUCAACCGUAGUUAGCCUCCGAAACUGGAAGACUUGAGUGCAGGAGAGGAAAGUGGAAUUCCCAGUGUAGCGGUGAAAUGCGUAGAUAUUGGGAGGAACACCAGUAGCGAAGGCGGCUUUCUGGACUGCAACUGACACUGAGGCACGAAAGCGUGGGUAGCAAACAGG
rnacentral:rRNA from 1 species